AUGCGGCAGAUCUCGUCGAUGCUGCAGGACCUGGCCCGUUCCAUGUCUCUGGGAAAGGAGAGGAAGGUGGAGGAGGAGCACCAGGGGACGGUGCUGCGGUCGUCGGGGACGCUCUGGGGCGAGGGCUCCGAGACGUUCGCCGCCGCGUGCUCCCGCCGCGGCGAGAAGGGCACCAACCAGGACACCUCCAUCGUAUGGGAGGUGAGUUUGCCGCUACUCUGCUUCUUCCCUGCUUGCUCUCUGUUGCAUGCGAAUGAUUUUUUACGCUGGUUAUCACAACAUAUUACCGGUGGCGUGUAG
rnacentral:rRNA from 1 species